rnacentral:rRNA from 1 species
UACAGAGGGGGCAAGCGUUAUUCGGAAUUAUUGGGCGUAAAGGGCGCGUAGGCGGCUUUUCAAGUGGCGGGUGAAAUCCCUCGGCUUAACCGAGGAACUGCCUGCCAGGACUGGAUUGCUUGAGUCCGGGAGAGGUGAGGUGGAAUUCCCAGUGUAGCGGUGAAAUGCGUAGAUAUUGGGAGGAACACCAGUGGCGAAGGCGGCUCACUGGACCGGAACUGACGCUGAGGCGCGGAAAGCGUGGGGAGCAAACAGG